rnacentral:rRNA from 1 species
AUUGAACGCUGGCGGCAUGCCUUACACAUGCAAGUCGAACGGCAGCACGGGAGCAAUCCUGGUGGCGAGUGGCGAACGGGUGAGUAACGCAUCGGAACGUGCCCAGUCGUGGGGGAUAGCCCGGCGAAAGCCGGAUUAAUACCGCAUACGACCUGUGGGUGAAAGCGGGGGACCGAAAGGCCUCGCGCGAUUGGAGCGGCCGAUGUCAGAUUAGGUAGUUGGUGGGGUAAAGGCCUACCAAGCCGACGAUCUGUAGCUGGUCUGAGAGGACGACCAGCCACACUGGGACUGAGACACGGCCCAGACUCCUACGGGAGGCAGCAGUGGGGAAUUUUGGACAAUGGGCGCAAGCCUGAUCCAGCCAUGCCGCGUGCGGGAAGAAGGCCUUCGGGUUGUAAACCGCUUUUGUCGGGGAAGAAAUGCUCCGGGAUAAUACCCUGGGGAGAUGACGGUACCCGAAGAAUAAGCACCGGCUAACUACGUGCCAGCAGCCGCGGUAAAAC